rnacentral:rRNA from 1 species
GACGAACGCUGGCGGCGUGCUUAACACAUGCAAGUCGAACGAUGAAGCCGGAGCUUGCUCUGGUGAAUUAGUGGCGAACGGGUGAGUAGCACGUGAGUAACCUGCCCUUGACUCUGGGAUAACUGCUAGAAAUGGUAGCUAAUACCGGAUACGACCCUCGGAGGCAUCUUCAGGGGGUGGAAUGAAUUUCGGUCAAGGAUGGACUCGCGGCCUAUCAGCUAGUUGGUGAGGUAAUGGCUCACCAAGGCGACGACGGGUAGCCGGCCUGAGAGGGUGACCGGCCACACUGGGACUGAGACACGGCCCAGACUCCUACGGGAGGCAGCAGUGGGGAAUAUUGCACAAUGGGCGCAAGCCUGAUGCAGCAACGCCGCGUGAGGGAUGACGGCCUUCGGGUUGUAAACCUCUUUUAGUAGGGAAGAAGCGAAAGUGACGGUACCUGCAGAAAAAGCACCGGCUAACUACGUGCCAGCAGCCGCGGUAA